CUGGCGACGUACAUUUUACUUGGGUAUAUAAGGGAAGCAUCGUCGGGAACACGCAAUUUUCUUCUGAACGGAUCCGUGAAGCAUGUAGGAGAUAUUUUCUGGCGUCAGGGGCGAAAAUACUGUCCGACCGCCCUGCCGUUGUGUUCGUUAUGAAACCAUUGCUUCGUUCUUUGAGGACUGUUUCGCAAAAGUUGAAGGGAACGUUUCUGAUACUUAACCAAGUUCCUUGCUGAUCUGUUUCGUUGGAUCUAAGGGACGCUGUAGGCUACAUGUGUCUGUGGAACGAAACUGUUGCUUACAACGGAUGGUAGCACCCUUCUAUUUCCAAAAACGAAAGGCAGCCGGGAGGAUGCAUACGCACGCGUGACGGGACCUGGGUGUGGUCAGCCCGAAAGAUGGACCGAAGACAUACGAAUAAGACUUCAAAGACAAACCGCUUUCCGAGUCCGCGAGGGCCGUGGCACGUGUAUUGCGCUCAAACAGACGACAGCUUGUGAAUAGCAGACUACAAUAUCAGGUUCAUCGAGUGCAUAUUUCAAUUUUGGGUGAGGGCAGUCAUCUAAUUAAUUUAUUGGACAUAUCACUACGAAAAUAACCGCGAAAAUGUCAUUAAUGUCAUAACUAUGUCAUAAAGAUGGCGUUGCAUCCUCCGCUGUCAUAAUUUCUUUCGUUUGGCCGUGAUUGUUUGUGUCGUGUGGGCAUAUUUGGAAAUACCCGUUUCGACUCGUCGAACUGGUUAUCGCGACUAUCUUACUCUUCCAGUUGGUUAUCGGAUCGUACUACACCUCAUUAUGCGGCGACACUUUCGCAAACUUUCCGACUAAACAUAUUCACCAGUUAAUCCAUCAAGUACUCCUCCCCUUGCAUGACAUACCCUGGGGACAUACCCCGGGAACAUAUCUAAUCAGCUUUUUUAGCUAUCUAUCGAAACUUGCAAGUAACGCCGAUUGUGACAGGUUGUUACAUACCGACUGCUCACACGGCGUUUGUCUGACUUUUUGAUUGUACAAAUGUUCUUUUUUCAAUGUAAUUAGUAGGAUUAGUGGACUCGGAGAAUAGAAGCUUAGGACCUUUUGUGUUCUAGUUUACGAGAAUUUGGUCUUUAUAGCCAUAAAUCCCUGAACAAUCAUUGAACAAAACAUCCCGAUUCUCACACUGACAAACAAGCGGAGCUCGGUUACGCCAUCUCUCGACAUUAUGUAGAACUAAAAUGUGAAGUGUCGUAUGUUGUGACAUACCGAUUACUCAUACAGCGUCUGUCUUAUCAAGUGAAUUAUCUUGGGUUUAUAAGGGAAAGCAUCGUCAGGAACACGUAUUCCUCUUCUAAAUGGAUUGGUGAAGUGUGCACCUCCUAUUUUCUUGGGCAGUAGUCGGCGUCAGAGCGAAAAUUCGCAUGGCAUACCAUACUGGCAGCUUUAAUGUUAGGUUAAUGUUCGCUUCUCCGUCCCUGCACAGAAGGGUCAGAGAAGGAAACAUUAACACCUGCUUUCUUCAGGAUGUGCCUUUUACAAUGUGAUAGUCCAUGAGUAUCUUGUAUCUUGUUCCCUGGCAAUAACCGCAAACAUUCAGUAGACUCCGGGGGUAGUCCAUUUCGUCAUCCUAUUCAUACUGCCUCAGUGAGGUGAGGAACGAGGCCGGUCCACUGCGUCCGAAGUGUCACCAUCUGUAGCCUAUAUAGCUCCUCUCCUUUUGCCACAUUGUCCCUGACUAUCGCGGCCAACCUACUGACGAUUCCCGAAGUGCAUGGAACGACUGCUUCCGAGCUGAAAUAGUAACUAUCAGACAAUUAUUUCAUCAGAACUAUGUAAGUAUUUAACCUCGAUAGGUCAAAAUGGGGAGAGGCAAGAGGAAGACCAAAAACAUUCUAACUGAAUGCCGCUCCGCUGAACCAUGUCACAACCAUACUUUCUUUUAUGAUUGAAUAUCACGCAACUGGCAGCCACAUAUGCAUUUCUGAGGACAAUUUCGGUGCCACGGACAAAGUCACAACCAGGUCAUUAUGCGGUGGUUAUUGCAGGCGUUGUAUUUCUGGCUUCAUUCUUUGACGUUGCGUGGACAAUGUCACAACCAGACCUCACAUGCAGAGAAAAUGGGGCGCAGUCAUCAGGUUGGGAUAUUACCUUGGUUAUUGCACAAGAGACCGACACACAAUGUAUAAUUUCAUACCGGAGCAAAGGGCGUGGACCACAUUCCGGCCGUAUUUUGAGGACUGCAUCGAGAUGAAGACAUCCGCAGCCAUCAGAGUAAAAAAUUUUUGGACAUUUUUCUCCCUGGCCAAAGGCACACCCAGUCUGUUUGUUUGGUUUCUGAGAGGUUUGUUUUGAUCGUGACGCACUUGCGCCGGACUUGUCGACCUCCAGUCGCGUGCCUGCUGUCAAUCAAGAUCGCGAAGACGCAAUCACUGCAGUCGCCCACACGAGAAAAACAAACACCAUUCACCAGGCCAAGGACUUGAAUAACUCAUUAGAAAGAUAUAUGCGGAUUUGGCAGGACUUGUUUUGUGUCGUUUGGGCAGCGUCCAGCUGUCGGAUGUGAUUUCCAGGGACAAUGCCCCUCGAUCUUGCUGACCACAGGUGCAGCCACCAUGUGAGAAACACGGCUAUUGUGGUUACGUAAAUCCCGUCCCAGAAGUUUUAAAACUGUGAUAAUCACCCCCAUUGUGGCGACCAAGACAACCAGGGGAUACCAUUACUUGCUGUGGCAUAACAAAGCCACACUAAAACCUCUGGAGUAUUUCGGGAAUCGGGCACGCGCCGUGCCAUUUACCCGGCCAGUCCGCCUUUUGUCAUCAACCGGUCGUCUGCUUGCGGUUAGUGGGCAGAUGUCCAGAGAGUCACGCGCCUGGUCAGCGUUCACCCAGCCUCUGGCUUUGGAAUCACAAUGGUCAGCUUAAUAGACAAUUCCAAGAUAGAAAUUAAAGUAAUGGACCGAGUUCCGGCCAUUUUGAUUAGCAUUUUCAAAUAAUAUGGUCAGGUUCAAUCUGCGCCGGAUGGCCCUCAGUGUAUGGUAUCACUGCAACCUCGUCAGCAGUUGAAACAUGCCCAAACUGACUUAGUGUAAGAAGAUAACGAAAUAACCAUAGCGACGAGAUUGUCAAAGUCACAGACGGUAAUUUCCCAUCUUCUCAUCUGAUUGACUUCCGGUCACGAACAGACAACAUCAGCUAACUUCCGCUGAAAGUCAACGAAAAUGCUACUUAUCAAAUCGUCCUUUGAGAAAUCAACCCGUGGAUUGAUUUCUCGAAGUUAUGUCGAAGGACCGCUGAUGAGCUCCAAUGCACUGACGGGAACACAGGCUUCGCACUGUGAUGCGCAUUUCCAAAGCGGACAUAAUUUUUUCAAGCAUAUGGUAUACAUACAAAGUAAUAUGAUCGCCUCAUCACACUUGUCGACAUAAUACUGCCCGGAAUAUAUAAGUGUUAUACGGUUGAACUUA